CAGCAGUGGGGGAAUAGUUGCACAAUGGGCGCAAGCCUGAUGCAGCCAUGCCGCGUGUAUGAAGAAGGACCUUCGGGUUGUAAAGUACUUUCAGCAGUGAGGAAGGUGGGAUAUGUUAAUAGCAUAUUCAUUUGACGUUAGCUGCAGAAGAAAGCACCGGCUAACUCCGUGCCAGCAGCCGCGGUAAUACGGAGGGUGCGAGCGUUAAUCGGAAUUACUGGGCGUAAAGCGCAUGCAGGUGGUUUGUUAAGUCAGAUGUGAAAGCCCGGGGCUCAACCUCGGAAUUGCAUUUGAAACUGGCAAACUAGAGUACUGUAGAGGGGGGUAGGAAUUUCAGGUGUAGCGGUGAAAUGCGUAGAGAUCUGAAGGAAUACCGGUGGCGAAGGCGGCCCCCUGGACAGAUACUGACACUCAGAUGCGAAAGCGUGGGGAGCAAACAGGAUUAGAUACCCUGGUAG
rnacentral:rRNA from 1 species